ensembl:snRNA LOC120095715 U6 spliceosomal RNA
GUGCCCUCUUUGGCAGCAUGUAUAUUGAAAAUUGGAAUGACACGGGGAUUAGCGUGGCCCUUGUUCAAGAAUGACAGGUAAAUUCAUGAAACAUUCCAUAUUUAA